rnacentral:rRNA from 1 species
UACAGAGGUGGCAGGCGUUGUUCGGAAUUACUGGGCGUAAAGGGCGCGUAGGCGGUUCGUUAAGUCCUGUGUGAAAUCCCCCGGCUCAACUGGGGAACUGCACAGGAAACUAGCGGGCUUGAGUUCGGGAGAGGGAAGCGGAAUUCCGGGUGUAGCGGUGAAAUGCGUAGAUAUCCGGAGGAACACCGGUGGCGAAGACGGCUUCCUGGACCGACACUGACGCUGAGGCGCGAAAGCUAGGGGAGCAAACGGG